AACCAACAAUAAAAAAUGAAAAAAUAAAAAAAUAGAGGAUGGACAAGAUUCUGCAUGCCUUUGGCAUGAAAGACUGAAAAAAAGAUACUAGAGUCGCCAGACUGAACAAGACAGUUUAAGGCAACAGUAAUUACUGUUCAAUCUAAUAACUGGCAUGAAAUUGAAAAACUAUGAAAAAUGCCAAUAGCAUUACUAUGGUCUAGUAACCCAACAUCAUCACUGAGAGAGAGUGAUGAAGGACAUACAGACAGACAAAAACGAGAAAGCUGCAUUAGUUAGAUUUGCAUGAUUUAAUAUAGUUGAGAGGUCAAGGAAUUCUGAAUUAAUCAUGAAAUUGAGAGAUUUUAGUUUAGCUAAACAAGGCAUGAGCAAUAGUAGUUGAUUUUUUAGUGUAAAACUGUAAAUGAAACAACAUAGAUACAAACUGAGAGAGCGAGUAAAUUGGAAAAUGGAGAGUUAUUUAUUACACGGAAGAAUAUUUGGAAUCAUCGUAUAAUACAAGCCAAGGUCAUGAAACAUGGUUAGUAUUCUAGCAGAGUUCACAAUUAUGAAUCAAAACCCCCCAAAAAAAGAUAAAAUGAAAGAAAUAUGGUCAAUCAUUUGAUAUAGCUCACUAAAAUGACAGAAAUAGCAUAUUACCUGAACAGGUACAUAACUGCUAGG
rnacentral:misc_RNA from 1 species